rnacentral:rRNA from 1 species
AACGCUGGCGGCGUGCCUAACACAUGCAAGUCGAACGCGAAAGUCCCGAAAGGGAUUAGUAGAGUGGCAAACGGGUGAGUAACGCGUGGGUGACCUGCCUUCGAGCGGGGGAUAACGUUCCGAAAGGGACGCUAAUACCGCAUGACAUCCUGCCUUUGAAGAGGCGGAGAUCAAAGCCGGGGAUUCGCAAGAACCUGGCACUCGACGAGGGGCCCGCGUCUGAUUAGCUAGUUGGUGGGGUAAUGGCUCACCAAGGCAACGAUCAGUAUCCGGCCUGAGAGGGCGGACGGACACACUGGGACUGAGACACGGCCCAGACUCCUACGGGAGGCAGCAGUGGGGAAUUGUUCGCAAUGGGCGCAAGCCUGACGACGCAACGCCGCGUGGAGGAUGAAGAUCUUCGGGUCGUAAACUCCUUUCGAUCGAGACGAAUGGCUUCCGGGUGAACAAUCCGGGAGAGUGACGGUACCGAGAGAAGAAGCCCCGGCUAACUCCGUGCCAGCAGCCGCGGUAAUACGGGGGGGGCAAGCGUUGUUCGGAAUUACUGGGCGUAAAGGGCUCGUAGGUGGCCAACUAAGUCAGACGUGAAAUCCCUCGGCUUAACCGGGGAACUGCAUCUGAUACUGGAUGGCUUGAGAUUGGGAGAGGGA